UACAGAGACUGCAAGCGUUAUUCGGAUUCACUGGGCGUAAAGGGUGCGCAGGCGGCCGUGUGUGUCAGGUGUGAAAGCCCGGGGCUUAACCCCGGAAUUGCGCCUGAAACUACAUGGCUAGAGCAUUGGAGAGGGUAGCGGAAUUCACGGUGUAGCAGUGAAAUGCGCAGAUAUCGUGAGGAACACCAGAGGCGAAGGCGGCUACCUGGACAAUUGCUGACGCUCAGGCACGAAAGCGUGGGGAGCAAAAGGG
rnacentral:rRNA from 1 species